rnacentral:rRNA from 1 species
AUACGGAAGGUCCGGGCGUUAUCCGGAUUUAUUGGGUUUAAAGGGAGCGCAGGCGGAGAUGCAAGCGUGACGUCAAAUUUCGGGGCUCAACCCCGUCUCGCGUCGCGAACUGCGUCCCUUGGUUGCGGGAAGGGGAGGCGGAACUCGUGGUGUAGCGGUGAAAUGCAUAGAUAUCACGAAGAACUCCGAUCGCGAAGGCAGCCUUCCGGCCCGUCAACGACGCUCAUGCUCGAAGGUGCGGGUAUCAAACAGGAUUAGAUACCCUGGUAGUCCGCACAGUAAACGAUGGACACCCGCGGUUUGGCCUGUAUGGCUGAGCCGCCAAGCGAAAGCGUUAAGUGUCCCACCUGGGGAGUACGCCGGCAACGGUGAAACUCAAAUGAAUUGGCGGGGG